rnacentral:rRNA from 1 species
AUGGAGAAGGCGAGGAGGCGUCGCGUGCCGGCGUUCGGGGAGUGGAACUACAACUACCACCACCACGAGCCGGAGGCUGCGGCGGCGGCAGCAGCGUGCUACGCCACGCCGGAGCCGGAGGCCUGCAGCGACGUGUGGUUCAGGUACUCGCCUCCUCCACGCGAUCCCACGCCCAAGAAGAAGCACGCGAGGCGGCGGCGGCGGCCGGAGGGCGACGUGUCCCGGGAGCGCGCCAGGGCGUCCACGGACGCUGCUGUCAUGGCCAAGAACGGCGCCGCCCGGUACCAGGUGCGGCACGUCGACGAGGACCUGUACAAGGCGCCACCGCCGGAGCCCGCCUCCCACCGGCGUCCAAGGAAGAAGUGGAGCCUGUGGAUGGGAUGCCUGGGCCUCAGCUCACGCGUCGCCUCCUGA